CCUACGGGAGGCAGCAGUGAGGAAUAUUGGUCAAUGGCCGUAAGGCUGAACCAGCCAAGUCGCGUGAAGGAAGAAGGAUCUAUGGUUUGUAAACUUCUUUUAUAGGGGAAUAAAGGUAUCCACGUGUGGAUAUUUGCAUGUACCCUAUGAAUAAGCAUCGGCUAACUCCGUGCCAGCAGCCGCGGUAAUACGGAGGAUGCAAGCGUUAUCCGGAUUUAUUGGGUUUAAAGGGUGCGUAGGUUGUUUUUUAAGUCAGCGGUGAAAGUUUGUGGCUCAACCAUAAAAUUGCCGUUGAAACUGGAAGACGUGAGUGUGUUUGAGGUAGGCGGAAUGCGUGGUGUAGCGGUGAAAUGCAUAGAUAUCACGCAGAACUCCGAUUGCGAAGGCAGCUUACUAAGCCAUAACUGACACUGAAGCACGAAAGCGUGGGGAUCAAACAGGAUUAGAUACCCGAGUAGUC
rnacentral:rRNA from 1 species